UACGGAGGGAGCUAGCGUUGUUCGGAAUUACUGGGCGUAAAGCGCGCGUAGGCGGCUUUGUAAGUUAGAGGUGAAAGCCCGGAGCUCAACUCCGGAACUGCCUUUAAGACUGCAUCGCUUGAAUCCGGGAGAGGUGAGUGGAAUUCCGAGUGUAGAGGUGAAAUUCGUAGAUAUUCGGAAGAACACCAGUGGCGAAGGCGGCUUUCUGGUCUGUAACUGACGCUGAGGCGCGAAAGCGUGGGGAGCAAACAGG
rnacentral:rRNA from 1 species